UACAGAGGGGGCAAGCGUUGUUCGGAAUUACUGGGCGUAAAGGGCGCGUAGGCGGCCUUCUAAGUCGAACGUGAAAUCCCCGGGUUCAACCCGGGAACUGCGUCCGAUACUGGAAGGCUUGAAUCCGGGAGAGGGAUGCGGAAUUCCAGGUGUAGCGGUGAAAUGCGUAGAUAUCUGGAGGAACACCGGUGGCGAAGGCGGCAUCCUGGACCGGUAUUGACGCUGAGGCGCGAAAGCCAGGGGAGCAAACGGG
rnacentral:rRNA from 1 species